GACGUAGGGCGCGAGCGUUGUCCGGAUUUAUUGGGCGUAAAGAGCUCGUAGGCGGUUUGUCGCGUCGAAUGUGAAAACCCGGGGCUCAACCCCGGGCCUGCAUUCGAUACGGGCAGACUAGAGUUCGGUAGGGGAGUCUGGAAUUCCUGGUGUAGCGGUGAAAUGCGCAGAUAUCGUAAGGAAGACCAGUGGCGAAGGCGGGUCUCUGGACAGUUCCUGACGCUCGGGUGCGAAAGCCAGGGGAGCGAACGGG
rnacentral:rRNA from 1 species